CGGUCUGUGCAGUCGCGUGUGAAAUCCCGCAGCUCAACUGGGGAGGGUCACUCGAUACUGCUCAACUCGAAUGCGGGAGAGGUGAGUGGAACUCCCGGUGUAGAGGUGAAAUGCGUAGAUAUCCGGAGGAACACCAGUGGCGAAGGCGACUUCCUGGCCCGAUCCUGACGCUGAGGUGCGAAAGCUUGGGGAGCAAACGGGAUUAGAUACCCCGGUAGUCCUCGCCGUAAACGAUGGACGCUAGGUGUUGGUGGUAUCACCCCCCCCUGU
rnacentral:rRNA from 1 species